rnacentral:rRNA from 1 species
GUAAGGUAACGGCUUACCAAGGCAAUGAUGCAUAGCCGAGCUGAGAGACUGAUCGGCCACAUUCGGACUGAGACACGGCCCAAACUCCUACGGGAGGCAGCAGUAGGGAAUCUUCCACAAUGGACGCAAGUCUGAUGGAGCAACGCCGCGUGAGUGAAGAAGGGUUUCGGCUCGUAAAGCUCUGUUGGUAGUGAAGAAAGAUAGAGGUAGUAACUGGCCUUUAUUUGACGGUAAUUACUUAGAAAGUCACGGCUAACUACGUGCCAGCAGCCGCGGUAAUACGUAGGUGGCAAGCGUUGUCCGGAUUUAUUGGGCGUAAAGCGAGUGCAGGCGGUUCAAUAAGUCUGAUGUGAAAGCCUUCGGCUCAACCGGAGAAUUGCAUCAGAAACUGUUGAACUUGAGUGCAGAAGAGGAGAGUGGAACUCCAUGUGUAG